UACAGAGGUCUCAAGCGUUGUUCGGAAUCACUGGGCGUAAAGGGUGCGUAGGCGGGUCUUUAAGUCAGGGGUGAAAUCCUGGAGCUCAACUCCAGAACUGCCUUUGAUACUGAAGAUCUUGAGUCCGGGAGAGGUGAGUGGAACUGCGAGUGUAGAGGUGAAAUUCGUAGAUAUUCGCAAGAACACCAGUGGCGAAGGCGGCUCACUGGCCCGGUACUGACGCUGAGGCACGAAAGCGUGGGGAGCAAACAGG
rnacentral:rRNA from 1 species